UUUUUCCUCCGCUUUAAACUGGAAAAUGGCCCACUUCCCACUGGCGAAAACUCAGGAAAUUUGGCAGGAUGACCGGGCCUGGUGAAAAAUUUGAUAUUCUGAAGUUGUCCAAACAAAAAAAGGAAAAAUGGCUCCAUAGCGCCCCCUAUGGUGAAAACUCACCUGAUGCCUGUACGCUUUGUCAAAAUGACACAAAAUUUGACACACAUGUGUAUCUCAAUAAGAUCUACGAAAAAGUCAGUGUGGGCGUAUCUGUCAAAUGUACGGUUAAAGGGCUAUUUCGCUUUUUUUGCCGAUCCGCACACAUUGGAAUUUCGCUAACUCCUCCAAAGGCUUUCGUUCCACCGGCACCAAAUUUGCUCAGGCCAAUCUACACCCCAUGGCCAUUAAAAGUUGUACAAAUCAUGACGCUGCACCCCACGGUUUAGGUUCUAGGCGGCGCCAAAGAUAACCCAAAAAUCCACAUUCUUAAAAGUCUUAUAACUUUUUAUUUUUGUCCUCACUGGCCUCCAAGGUUUCUAGGAUGAUGCAAUGUCCAGCCAUAAACACAUUUGUGAAGGAAUUUUUACUCCCCAAAAGAGCGCCCCCCCAUGGCAGGAGAAAAAAGUCCAUUUUUUCUUGUCUCCUAAGGUAAAAAUACACAUUGUUGAGUGUCACGCCUAUACACUUUGUCAUAUUGACACACAAUUUGACAAUCACGUGUAUCUCAAUAAGAUCUACAAAAAAGUCAAUAGGCACGUAUCUGUCAAAUGUACGGUUAAAGGGCUAUUUUGCAUUUUUUGCCGAUUCGCACACAUUGGAAUGUGGCUAUCUCCUCCUAAGGCUUUCGUCCCACUGAUACCAAAUUUGCUCAGGGCAAUCUACACCCCAUGGCCAUUCAAAGUUGUCAAAAUCAUGACGCUGCACCCCACGGUUUACGUUCUAGGGGGCGCCAAAGAUGACCCAAAAAUCCACAUUCUUAAAAGUCUUUUUGGUCACUGCAGGAGUACAGAGUACUGCAAGAUACACACACAUACACACACACACACACACACACACACACACACACACACACACACACUCAGAGUCUGUUUUUUAGCACCUGCAAAAACAUGCUGUUUACAUAUUUGACAAGAAUGCAGAGGCUUCCUUUUGCCCCGAAAAAAAUCAAAUUUCAAACACAACUUGACUGUUCAUUUCUCCAAAUGACAACCAUGAAGCUCCAUCCAAACCUGAAGCAGGCAGUUGGUGCAUGUGUACAGUAACCUGAGGGGAGUGAGGUGACUGCUUCUGAGGAGAACAUGAGCAGUGAAGAUUCACCUUGGAGCGAGAACAGGGACGUGCACAUGAUUAUACAGGGGCAGGGGCUCAAGUUUUUUCCAGUCGUUUAUACAAUAUGGAAAUUAAUGUGAAAUUAAAAAACAAAGUAUUAAUAGAAAGGUAAUGACUGUCCUGUGUAGGUGACAGUAAUAUCCAAUAGGCUAGGCACUCACGAGGCUGGCUGUGGCAAGUGUAAGUGAAAGCAACACGCACUGGCAGGAAGAACAGCAAACGCCGAUGAAGGAAAAGGGUCUUUGCAGUGAUGGGCGUUACCAGAGAGGACGAUGGCCAGAGGACGCGAAUGGGACGGGGAGGCAGCGCGUUGGGGGGGGGGCGCGACACAGCUCGGGCCCGCCAGUGCCCCAACGGGGCCCUAGUUUCUUUUUCCUCCCCUUUGAACUGGAAAAUGGCCCACUUCCCACUGGCGAAAACUCAUGAAAUUUGGCAGGACGACCGGGCCUGGUGAAAAAUUUGAUAUUCCGAAGUCGCCCAAACAAGAAAAUGCAAAAUGGCUCCAUAGCGCCCCCUAAGGUGAAAAUUCACACUAUUGACUUUCACGCCUGUACGCUUUGUCAAAAUGACACAAAAAUUGACACACACAUGUAUCUCAAUAAGAUCUACAAAAAAGUCAGUGCGGGCGUAUCUGUCAAAUGUACGGUUAAAGGGCUAUUUCGCAUUUUUUGCCGAUCCGCACACAUUGGAAUUUCGCUAACUCCUCCGAAGGCUUUCAUUCCACCGGCACCACAUUUGCUCAGGCCAAUCUACACCCCAUGGCCAUUAAAAGUUAUUCAAAUCAUGACGCUGCACCCCACGGUUUACGUUCUAGGGGGCGCCAAAGAUAACCCUAAAAUCCACAUUUUUAAAAGUCUUAUAACUUUUGAUUUUUGCCCUCACUGGCCUCCAAGUUUUCUAGGAUGAUGCAAUGUCCAGCCAUCAACACAUUUGUGAAGGAAUUUUUACUCCCCAAAAGAGCGCCCCCCCAUGGCAGGAGAAAAAAGUCCAUUUUUUCUUGUCCCCUAAGGUGAAAAUACACAUUGUUGAGUGUCACGCCUGUACGCUUUGUCAAAAUGACACAAAAAUUGACACACACAUGUAUCUCAAUAAGAUCUACAAAAAAGUUAGUGCGCGCGUAUCUGUCAAAUGUACGGUUAAAGGGUUAUUCCGCAUUUUUUGCCGAUUCGCACACAUUGGAAUUUCGCUAACUCCUCCGAAGGCUUUCGUUCCACCGGCACCACAUUUGCUCAGGCCAAUCUACACCCCAUGGCCAUUAAAAGUUAUUCAAAUCAUGACGCUGCACCCCACGGUUUACAUUCUAGGGGGCACCAAAGAUAACCCAAAAAUCCACAUUUUUAAAAGUCUUAUAACUUUUUAGGGCCCGAGCGUAGCUGCUAAGCAGCUGCGAGAGCCCUCUUGGUCCUGAUGGAUUCUUCUUUCGUUAUUUUUCCUCCGCUUUAAACUGGAAAAUGGCCCACUUCCCACUGGCGAAAACUCAGGAAAUUUGGCAGGACGACCGGGCCUGGUGAAAAAUUUGAUAUUCUGAAGUCGCCCAAACAAAAAAAUGAAAAAUGGCUCCAUAGCGCCCCCUAUGGUGAAAACUCACCUGACGCCUGUACGCUUUGUCAAAAUGACACAAAAUUUGACACACAUGUGUAUCUCAAUAAGAUCUACAAAAAAGUCAGUGCGGGCGUAUCUGUCAAAUGUACGGUUAAAGGGCUAUUUCGCAUUUUUUGCCGAUCCGCACACAUUGGAAUUUCGCUAACUCCUCCGAAGGCUUUCGUUCCACCGGCACCAAAUUUGCUCAGGCCAAUCUACACCCCAUGGCCAUUAAAAGUUGUACAAAUCAUGACGCUGCACCCCACGGUUUAUGUUCUAGGGGGCGCCAAAGAUAACCCAAAAGUCCACAUUCUUAAAAGUCUUAUAACUUUUUAUUUUUGUCCUCACUGGCCUCCAAGUUUUCUAGGAUGAUGCUAUGUCCAGCCAUCAACACAUGUGUGAAGGAAUUUUUACUCCCCAAAAGAGCGCCCCCCCAUGGCAGAAGAAAAAAGUCAAGUUUUUCUUGUCCCCUAACAUGAAAAUACACAUUGUUGAGUGUCACGCCUAAACGCUUUGUCAUAUUGACACAAAAAUUGACACGCACGUGUAUCUCAAUAAGAUCUACGAAAAAGUCAAUGCGCGCGUAUCUGUCAAAUGUACGGUUAAAGGGUUAUUUUGCAUUUUUUGCCGAUCCGCACACAUUGGAAUUUCGCUAACUCCUCCGAAGGCUUUCGUUCCACCGGCACCAAAUUUGCUCAGGCCAAUCUACACCCCAUGGCCAUUAAAAGUUGUAAAAAUCAUGACGCUGCACCCCACGGUUUAGGUUUUAGGGGGCGCCAAAGAUAACCCUAAAAUCCAAAUAUUUAAAAGUCUUAUAACUUUUUAUUUUUGUCCUCACUGGCCUCCAAGUUUUCUAGGAUGAUGCAAUGUCCAGCCAUCAAUACAUUUGUGAAGGAAUUUUUACUCCCCAAAAGAGCGCCCCCCCAUGGUAGGAGAAAAAAGUCAAUUUUUUCUUGUCCCCUAAGGUGAAAAUACACAUUGUUGAGUGUCACGCCUGAACUCUUUGUCAUAUUGACACAAAUAUUGACAAUCAUGUGUAUCUCAAUUAGAUCUACGAAAAAGUCAAAGAGCGCGUAUCUGUAUAAUGUACGGUAAAAGGGCUAUUUUGCAUUUUUUGCCGAUUCGCACACAUUGGAAUUUCGCUAACUCCUCCGAAGGCUUUCGUCCCACUGACACCAUAGUUGCUCAGGCCAAUCUACAACCCAUGGCCAUUCAAAGUUGUACAAAUCAUGACGCUGCACCCCACGGUUUAGGUUCUAGGGGGCGCCAAAGAUAACCCAAAAAUCCACAGUCUUAAAAGUCUUAUAACUUUUUAUUUUUGUCCUCACUGGCCUCCAA
rnacentral:lncRNA from 1 species